AGGGGGAUAACUACUGGAAACGGUAGCUAAUACCGCAUGAUGUCGCAAGACCAAAGUGGGGGACCUUCGGGCCUCACGCCAUCGGAUGUGCCCAGAUGGGAUUAGCUAGUAGGUGGGGUAAUGGCUCACCUAGGCGACGAUCCCUAGCUGGUCUGAGAGGAUGACCAGCCACACUGGAACUGAGACACGGUCCAGACUCCUACGGGAGGCAGCAGUGGGGAAUAUUGCACAAUGGGCGCAAGCCUGAUGCAGCCAUGCCGCGUGUGUGAAGAAGGCCUUAGGGUUGUAAAGCACUUUCAGCGAGGAGGAAGGCGNUGUAGUUAAUAGCUGCAGCGAUUGACGUUACUCGCAGAAGAAGCACCGGCUAACUCCGUGCCAGCAGCCGCGGUAAUACGGAGGGUGCAAGCGUUAAUCGGAAUUACUGGGCGUAAAGCGCACGCAGGCGGUUUGUUAAGUCAGAUGUGAAAUCCCCGAGCUUAACUUGGGAACUGCAUUUGAAACUGGCAAGCUAGAGUCUUGUAGAGGGGGGUAGAAUUCCAGGUGUAGCGGUGAAAUGCGUA
rnacentral:rRNA from 3 species